rnacentral:rRNA from 1 species
UACGUAGGGUGCGAGCGUUGUCCGGAAUUACUGGGCGUAAAGAGCUCGUAGGUGGUUUGUCGCGUUGUUCGUGAAAUCUCACGGCUUAACUGUGAGCGUGCGGGCGAUACGGGCAGACUGGAGUACUGCAGGGGAGACUGGAAUUCCUGGUGUAGCGGUGGAAUGCGCAGAUAUCAGGAGGAACACCGGUGGCGAAGGCGGGUCUCUGGGCAGUAACUGACGCUGAGGCACGAAGGCCAGGGGAGCAAACGGG